UACGUAGGGACCGAGCGUUGUCCGGAAUUAUUGGGCGUAAAGAGCUCGUAGGCGGUUUGUCGCGUCUGCUGUGAAAUCCCGAGGCUCAACCUCGGGCCUGCAGUGGGUACGGGCAGACUGGAGUGCGGUAGGGGAGACUGGAAUUCCUGGUGUAGCGGUGAAAUGCGCAGAUAUCAGGAGGAACACCGGUGGCGAAGGCGGCGCUCUGGGCCGGAACUGACGCUGAGGAGCGAAAGCGUGGGGAGCAAACAGG
rnacentral:rRNA from 1 species